rnacentral:rRNA from 1 species
GACGAACGCUGGCGGCGUGCUUAACACAUGCAAGUCGAACGGAAAGGCCCUGCUUUUGUGGGGUGCUCGAGUGGCGAACGGGUGAGUAACACGUGAGUAACCUGCCCUUGACUUUGGGAUAACUUAAGGAAACUGGGGCUAAUACAGGAUAGGAGCUCCUGCUGCAUGGGGGGGGUGGGAAAGUUUCGGCGGUUGGGGAUGGACGCGCGGCUUAUCAUCUUGUUGGUGGGGUAGUGGCUUACCAAGGCAUUGACGGGUAGCCGGCCUGAGAGGGUGACCGGCCACAAUGGGCCUGAGAUACGGCCCAGACUGCUACGGGGGGCAGCAGUGGGGAAUAUUGCACAAUGGGCGGAAGCCUGAUGCAGCAACGCCGCGUGCGGGAUGACGGCCUUCGGGUUGGAAACCGCGUUCGCCUGUGACGAAGCGUGAGUGACGGUAAUGGGUAAAGAAGCACCGGCUAACUACGUG